rnacentral:precursor_RNA from 12 species
UAAUGCCAGCCGCUCUCCAGGGUAGCUGAGAGGAUGGUAGACCGGUGACGUGCGCUUCAUUUAUGCUGUAGGUCACCCGUUUGACUAUCCAUCAGCGCCCAGUUCAUCUGUGGGAUGACAUC